AAUAGAUACCCAGGUAGUCCACGCCGUAAACGAUGAGUGCUAGGUGUUGGGGACGUCCAAUCCUCAGUGCCGCAGCUAACGCACUAAGCACUCCGCCUGGGGAGUACGGCCGCAAGGCUGAAACUCAAAGGAAUUGACGGGGGACCCGCACAAGCGGUGGAGCAUGUGGUUUAAUUCGAAGCAACGCGAAGAACCUUACCAGGGCUUGACAUCCCGCUGUCCCUCCUAGAGAUAGGAGCUCUCUUCGGAGCAGCGGUGACAGGUGGUGCAUGGUUGUCGUCAGCUCGUGUCGUGAGAUGUUGGGUUAAGUCCCGCAACGAGCGCAACCCUUGUCCGUAGUUGCCAGCAUUCAGUUGGGCACUCUACGGAGACUGCCGUCGACAAGACGGAGGAAGGUGGGGAUGACGUCAAAUCAUCAUGCCCCUUAUGUCCUGGGCUACACACGUGCUACAAUGGAUGGAACAACGGGCAGCCAACUCGCGAGAGUGCGCCAAUCCCUUAAAACCAUUCUCAGGUUC
rnacentral:rRNA from 1 species